GACGAACGCUGGCGGCGUGCUUAACACAUGCAAGUCGAACGGAAAGGCCUCUUUCGGGGGGUACUCGAGUGGCGAACGGGUGAGUAACACGUGAGUAACCUGCCCUUGACUUUGGGAUAACUUCAGGAAACUGGGGCUAAUACCGGAUAGGAGCUCCUGCUGCAUGGUGGGGGUUGGAAAGUUUCGGCGGUUGGGGAUGGACUCGCGGCUUAUCAGCUUGUUGGUGGGGUAGUGGCUUACCAAGGCUUUGACGGGUAGCCGGCCUGAGAGGGUGACCGGCCACAUUGGGACUGAGAUACGGCCCAGACUCCUACGGGAGGCAGCAGUGGGGAAUAUUGCACAAUGGGUGGAAGCCUGAUGCAGCAACGCCGUGUGCGGGAUGACGGCCUGGUGUAACGACUUCGCUCAUGACGAAG
rnacentral:rRNA from 1 species